UGCCACUUCUAUCACUGAGAGGUACAGGC
rnacentral:piRNA from 1 species